rnacentral:rRNA from 1 species
GAGUUUGAUCUUGGCUCAGAUUGAACGCUGGCGGCAGGCCUAACACAUGCAAGUCGAGCGGUAGAGAGAAGCUUGCUUCUCUUGAGAGCGGCGGACGGGUGAGUAAUGCCUGGGAAUCUGCCUGGUAGUGGGGGAUAACGCUCGGAAACGGACGCUAAUACCGCAUACGUCCUACGGGAGAAAGCAGGGGACCUUCGGGCCUUGCGCUAUCAGAUGAGCCUAGGUCGGAUUAGCUAGUUGGUGAGGUAAUGGCUCACCAAGGCGACGAUCCGUAACUGGUCUGAGAGGAUGAUCAGUCACACUGGAACUGAGACACGGUCCAGACUCCUACGGGAGGCAGCAGUGGGGAAUAUUGGACAAUGGGCGAAAGCCUGAUCCAGCCAUGCCGCGUGUGUGAAGAAGGUCUUCGGAUUGUAAAGCACUUUAAGUUGGAGGAAGGGCAGUAAAUUAAUAACUUUGCUGUUUUGACGUUACCGACAGAAUAAGCACCGGCUAACUCUGUGACAGCA